UAGAGUUCCAUUGUUCAAGGAAGGAGGGGACAGGGGACCUUCAAAGACACGUCUCUGUCAUGUAAGACUUGCAAAAUAACUAAAAAGACUGCUGGAGAGGAUUUUGAUCUCUAAUUUGGGUCUAAAAAAAACCUAUGGAAAGUCCUCCUUGUGUGAUGGGGUGGGUGUGAUCCAUCCCUAGAGAUGGAGACAGUCAUAAAAAUAAUGAAAAUGUGGGAGGCUCUGUCUCAAUUGUCCACAUGACCUGUUUCAAGGUCCCACAAAACUCUAGUUUUAUGAAAACUACCACUUUUUUUUUUUUUACCCCAUUCUCUCCCCAGAUCUUACUGAGGGCUUAUCUGCCAGGCGAGGUGUCCAUGGUGAAUGCCAUCGUUGCUGGCAGUGCCACAAUUCUCUCAAGUUUAUGAUACAUAUGAGGCUCUCCCAGGCAAGCCUCCAGGAUUCCUGACUCUGAAAGGUGUAGAUCCCAUGAAGACAGCCCACCUGCUCCUUCUCCAUCAGCCCCCACCGAUGAGUGAGCCAGGAGAUCCAACUGGCUUUUCUGGUUACAGAUUCGCCACCGCAAGGAAGGGAAGGGACUGGAGUGCAAACUGUCAUCCAGUCAUAAACUUGAUGCUAAUAUGACUUCAGCUUAUGCAAAGGAGGCUGUGCUACCCAAGCUCAAAGCCUGUCUCCCAACACCCAAAACAAGUACAUGCUGUGACCAAAGGAACAGGUACUUACCUUUGAGCAAAGUGGAGCUGACCACGGAAAUUAAAAAACUAAUAAAUGAGGGGGUGACUUGGAGCAUUAUAAAUAGGCAAUAGAAUUUCUCAAGCAACCCUACACUGAGUUUUAUCUUUUGACUUUUUGCCAGCAACUCUUCAAGAAUGCAUACUUAAAUGUAUCCUUUUGUACACAUUUGGUGUUUUAUUGGUGCUUCUUGGUGAUGACUCUUUGGAUAAAGAUCCCUGUCACCUUUAAAUUUCUCAGCUCUAUCAUCUCUCCUCAAUCAAACUCAUCUAUAAACAAAACUCUCCAAUUAAUCCUUUCUAAGGCCAAAGUACUUGAAAAUUCUUGGCACUUCCUCCGAAGGACAGGUUUUUGCUCAUCCAGUACCUCGGGCAGAGGAAUUCACGAGUGGGUGCGUAAUUAACAUAAUAAAUAAAAGGUGUUGGCAUUAGGGUCUUCAACUUCACCUCUGUUUCAAAUUGUUACCAGAGCCUGGAAUUUUCUGUCCUACAAAUAAAGCCUGUAGGUUUUGGCCCAUGGAACUCCGGCAAGGCACCAA